GGCUUCCUGGCACCCUCGUUACGCCACUGGCCGUUAUAACAUACGUACUGACAAAAAAACAACAACUGAAGGAAUGUAAGGAUGAUAUGUUAUUUUACUGUCUGGUCAGGUAGUCACAAAAAGUUAGUACCAACAUGUGGAUGGAAAGAGUUAAUCUCUCGGUAACACCCUAGGCCACAUUCACAAUUUGGAUCUGCUCGAGAACAGGUUGCUGUCAAGGAAUAACGCAAAAAUACAUCACAACAAGAGUCUGUGUUUUUAGAUAUACGAGCAGGCGGCCCCUCUGGGUCUGUUAUUAGAUAGGCCCACGAGAUCAACUUCUCCCUUUCUGCAGUUCUCGACACCAAGACUUGUCUCAGAUGGACAUCACCAAAUACUCUGCUGUCAAAGACGAGGCAAGCGGUGCCACGCUCCGAGAACACUGCUGUCCAAAAGUCCCCGUUGAUAUAACUGACGUGCUCUGUGACGCAGAGAAAGGUGUCCUGAGGUCAUGGUGCCCCCUGUGUCUGUACAUCACAGACGUUAGGGAUUUAGGAGAACAGCUCUGGGACGCCUGCUCCAGCAUGACCACGUCUGGGACCAGAUUUUUUGUACGUUUUGUGAAGAAAACUGUCAUGGUUGGAACGAAAAUAAACAUCAAGUAAAGUUGGAA